rnacentral:snRNA from 1 species
GUGCUCGCUUCGGCAGCACAUAUACUAAAAUUGGAACGAUACAGAGAUUAGCAUGGUCCCUGCGCAAAGAUGACAUGCAAAUUAGUGAAGUGUUCCAUAUUUAA